GACGAACGCUGGCGGCGUGCUUAACACAUGCAAGUCGAACGGAAAGGCCCUGCUUUUGUGGGGUUCUCGAGUGGCGAACGGGUGAGUAACACGUGAGUAACCUGCCCUUGACUUUGGGAUAACUUCAGGAAACUGGGGCUAAUACCGGAUAGGAGCUCCUGCUGCAUGGUGGGGGUUGGAAAGUUUCGGCGGUUGGGGAUGGACUCGCGGCUUAUCAGGUUGUUGGUGGGGUAGUGGCUUACCACGGCUUUGGCGGGUCGCCGGCCUGGGAGGGUGACCGGCAACAUUGGGCCUGGGAUACGGCCCGGCCUCCUACGGGAGGCAGCGGUGGGGAAUAUGGCACAAUGGGCGGAGGCCUAUUGCAGCAACGCCGCGUGCGGGAUAACGGCCUUCGGGUUGUAAACCGCUUUCGCCUGUGACGAGGCGUGAGUGACGGUAAUGAGUAAAGAAGCACCGGCUAACUACGUG
rnacentral:rRNA from 1 species